GGGAGAAGUCUGACGGAGCAACGCCGCGUGAGUGAUGAAGGUUUUCGGAUCGUACAACUCUGUUGUUAGGGAAGAACAAGUACCGUUCGAAUAGGGCGGUACCUUGACGGUACCUAACCAGAAAGCCACGGCUAACUACGUGCCAGCAGCCGCGGUAAUACGUAGGUGGCAAGCGUUGUCCGGAAUUAUUGGGCGUAAAGCGCGCGCAGGCGGUUUCUUAAGUCUGAUGUGAAAGCCCCCGGCUCAACCGGGGAGGGUCAUUGGAAACUGGGGAACUUGAGUGCAGAAGAGGAGAGUGGAAUUCCACGUGUAGCGGUGAAAUGCGUAGAGAUGUGGAGGAACACCAGUGGCGAAGGCGACUCUCUGGUCUGUAACUGACGCUGAGGCGCGAAAGCGUGGGGAGCGAACAGGAUUAGAUACCCUGGUAGUCCACGCCGUAAACGAUGAGUGCUAAGUGUUAGAGGGUUUCCGCCCUUUAGUGCUGCAGCAAACGCAUUAAGCACUCCGCCUGGGGAGUACGGUCGCAAGACUGAAACUCAAAGGAAUUGACGGGGGCCCGCACAAGCGGUGGAGCAUGUGGUUUAAUUCGAAGCAACGCGAAGAACCUUACCAGGUCUUGACAUCCUCUGACAACCCUAGAGAUAGGGCUUCCCCUUCGGGGGCAGAGUGACAGGUGGU
rnacentral:rRNA from 1 species